rnacentral:rRNA from 1 species
AUUGAACGCUGGCGGCAGGCUUAACACAUGCAAGUCGAGCGGAGUGAUGGUGCUUGCACUAUCACUUAGCGGCGGACGGGUGAGUAAUGCUUAGGAAUCUGCCUAUUAGUGGGGGACAACAUCUCGAAAGGGAUGCUAAUACCGCAUACGUCCUACGGGAGAAAGCAGGGGAUCACUUGUGACCUUGCGCUAAUAGAUGAGCCUAAGUCGGAUUAGCUAGUUGGUGGGGUAAAGGCCUACCAAGGCGACGAUCUGUAGCGGGUCUGAGAGGAUGAGCCGCCACACUGGGACUGAGAUACGGCCCAGACUCCUACGGGAGGCAGCAGUGGGGAAUAUUGGACAAUGGGGGGAACCCUGAUCCAGCCAUGCCGCGUGUGUGAAGAAGGCCUUAUGGUUGUAAAGCACUUUAAGCGAGGAGGAGGCUCUUUUGGUUAAUACCCAGAAUGAGUGGACGUUACUCGCAGAAUAAGCACCGGCUAACUCUGUGCCAGCCGCCGCAGUAAAAC